rnacentral:rRNA from 1 species
UUUAUGGAGAGUUUGAUCCUGGCUCAGGACGAACGCUGGCGGCGUGCCUAAUACAUGCAAGUCGAGCGAACAGAGAAGGAGCUUGCUCCUUCGACGUUAGCGGCGGACGGGUGAGUAACACGUGGGCAACCUACCUUAUAGUUUGGGAUAACUCCGGGAAACCGGGGCUAAUACCGAAUAAUCUGUUUCACCUCAUGGUGAAACACUGAAAGACGGUUUCGGCUGUCGCUAUAGGAUGGGCC